CCCACAUAGCUAAGGCCACACAGCAAGCCCAGGGCCCAGCCAGGGAUGAGUGCGAAGUUCCAGGACCGGAGAUGGAGGCUGACCUGGGGGAGGAAGGGACUGUGGCCUGGCUGCCUGCCACCACCUAAGCCUUCUCUGCCACCCCGCCUCAAGGGCAGGGAGCUGCUGCGCAGAUGGGGCUGGGAAACUACCAGAAGGCAGCCUUCCACCUGCCCAAGGCGGGCCUGCUCCUUCCUGGCUCCAUCAGUCAUCUUCCCAGCGGCAGCCCCCCGGUGACUGUGGCCCCAGCUCUCAGGAGUGCUCCUGCCCUACCCGCCCCGUACCGCAGGCCCAGAACCAGCCCCACUGAACUAAUCAGCAGGAACAGCGACCUUCGUGGGGACGCCUGGGUGGUGAGGUCCUGGCAGCCUACUGACCCCAAGUCACAGGCACUCCUGGCCACACGCAGUCUCCAAUAAGGAUUUGUCCUCCUCAUCCCGUCUCCCACCACCGCCGCCGGGUCCAUCUGGCCGACCCGGCUCAGCUCCCAGAGGUGUGUGAGCAGCGCAGUGGCGCCCACCCCCUGGCCCCAGCGCUGCCUGGUAUGGCCAGAAGACUGCUGUUACUGGAGAACCAGCCGUGCCCAGGACCCACAGCUUGGUUCAAAGCUGCCUCGGGGAAAAGCGUGCCGCUGACACUGUGUCCAGGCCCGGCCGGGCGGCCCCACCUUGGCUGGGGUUGGGGGGUGAGGUCAUGCCCAGCCCUGCUGCCCUGCCCGGGAGGAAGGACUAGCAGUACC